AGCUGUAGUACCUGAAGAUAGGUCUACUUAAGCCUCAGAUGUUGGCCACACCUUCAGCUGUGGCAGGAACGAUGGGAAGUGUUUGGAUUCUGAUCGUAUGCACAGUGGCUUUUUGGCAGCAAGGCUCUUGCUUGCCUGUUGCUCAAAAUGGAGGCAUACACUAUGAGGAACAAAGGACAAGCAAAUUAUUGUCACAAAAUGAAGUUCUAAAGACACCAAGUGCUUCGCUGCUGUUGUCUUCCGGGUUGACUAGCACUUCUAAAGCUCAACUGGAAAUCUAUGAAGAGACUGAAGAUGUGUCAAGUGACGCCGCCCACAAUGUGUCAAGUGACGCCGCC